rnacentral:rRNA from 1 species
AGUGAACGCUGGCGGUAGGCCUAACACAUGCAAGUCGAACGAGUGGCGUACGGGUGAGGAAUCCAUCGGAAUCUACUCUGUCGUUGGGGAUAACGUAGGGAACCUUACUCUAAUACCGCAUACCAUUGACUGCGCCGCUGUCGGAUUCUCUAGUUGGCGUGGGAAAGGCCCAACAAGGCGACGAUCCGUAGCUGGUCUGAGAGGAUGAUCAGCAACACUGGAACUGAGACACGGGCCAGACUCCUACGGGAGGCAGCAGUGGGGAAGAUUGGACAAUGGGCGCAAGCCUGAUCCAGCCAUACCGCGUGGGUGAAGAAGGUCUUCGGAGUGUAAAGCACUUUAAGUUGGGAGGCGUGACCAACAGAAUAAGCACCGGCUAACUUCGUGCCAGCAGCCGCGGUAAGAC